AUAAAGGUGGCAGACAAGUGCAUUAGAUUUAAGCUCUAAACAUGAAGACGGAAUUUCUUUUCUUUAUA
rnacentral:tRNA from 1 species